GAACGGAAACCUCGUCAAAAACCCACAAUGUACAUACGUAAGCUAGCUAUAAGGCCUGCCUUGAAACAGUCUGUUGGGAUGUUCAUGACAUAUUUAGCAUGAGCCAAAAUCACAACAGGGAAUAAAUGAUCGCUUGUAACUGUGUUUGGUGAAAAGAGCAACGCCGCCACUCGCUGUUUAAUCACAACAUGUACAUUCCAAACUGAUUGCUAACACGAUCUAAAGAGCUUAAAUACUGUGGCGUUCAAUUAACCUCGCGGGCAUCAGGUCAUCCUGCUGAAGCGUCUGGAGAAGAAUCAGUGUUGAAUUUAUUGAGCUGUAGCUGUUUUAUAACUUUCACAUGAGCUCCAGUCCUCCUGUACACGGCCAUCAGACCACAAUCAGUUCCUUCAUUGCAGACAUUCACUCCGUGACCGAAGCACACAGCCGUGGUCCAGAGUUUCAGGUUCAAUGUCAGAACAGGGAAGAAAUGUGAUGCUUGUUUGAAGUUGGUUUUCGUGUCUUGUUGGAUUCUUCUAAAUGUUACAGAGCAAAAAAAAAAAAACAUCCAGUGAGUGGCAGCUGUUAACGAGAGAGACGAACACCUCGUUAACGAGACGGCCAGAGGAGAAUUUGGUUCAAGCUGGCAGGAAUCACAGCAGCAGACUCAGACUUCCUAAACAUUAAAACAUGAGCGGGAAGGCACCCGACACACUGGGCUGAGUGUAAAUAGUAUGAGCUUCAUCCUGUAGUUUAGUUAAUCAAUCUAUAAUUAAAGAGCGGUUUCAAUGUGAUUCACUCUGAUUAAUUACAUCUUUUGUGUGUGUUUUUGCUCCAAUCAACUCUGAAUCUACAUCUGCUGGAAGUGCAAAGUCUGUCUUUGUAAAUAAAGAUAAAAGUUGAACGCAUGCCAGCGUGUACGACAGCUUCUCUCUUGUUGCUUUAUAUUAAAGAACACUGAUGAAACCUGGUGCCGCUGCUUUCACUUCUCUAUUGCAAAACACAGUCCGGUGGAAAGUCAUCACAGGCGGGCGUUCAGAUUCUGCUGUGUUGGUACUUUUCUCCGGUCCCGGAUGGACUGAAAGCACCUGCAAGAACUGGGUUUAUAAGACACAAGUGACACAAGCGCUGAGAGGAACCUGCAGCGACCCUGAGAUCGAUUGUCAUUUUCCUCACAACACCUCAACGAGUAAAGAAUGGCCCCUUCUUCGGAUCCGUAUGGAGAUUAUAUAGAGCACCUCGACUAUUAUUACUACGAAAUCUUAACCACCGACAACUUUGACUUUACUUUAUCACAUCCUCCAGGAGAACGAACAGUGUUUCAGGUCUACGCCGCUGCGUUCUGCACCCUCAUCUUCUGCAUCAGUUUGCCUGGAAACAGCUUCCUGCUCUGGGUCCUUCUGAAGGAACGAGCCUGGAGGACCACACACGACAUCUUCCUCCUGCAGCUCGCAGUUUCCAACCUCUGCUCCACCACGACGCUGCCCUUUAUGGCCAGCAAUGCCCUCAACAGCUGGGUGUUUGGGUGGACGGCCUGUGGAGCUGUGAGAGGGUUUUUUUUCCUGGGAAUGAACAGUUAUCCAAUAAUAGUCACUGCCAUGGUUUUGCAUUCUUACAUUACCGUGGUUCACGCUUCACGUGUGUCUGCGCAGGCCUUCAGUAAACGCCGAGUCCUCGUGGGCAGCAUUGUGAUGUGGCUGCCGUGUGCUGCUGUGAGCAUCAGGGACUCGAUGGAUAGUGUGGCCAUACCCCUAGGUGAAGAUGAGAUGUGUACAGGUGUAGAGUCGGCCUACUCGAUGACUGUUAGCGUGUCCUUGGGUAUGACCUUAUUCUUCCUCCUUCCUUUAGCUAUCAUCACAUUCUGCUACGUCCACUUGUGGAUAACUAUCAGACAGGGCAGGAUAAACAGACAGGACCAGCCCUCCAAACUGAUUCUAGGGAUAACUGUUGGUUAUUUCCUUUGUGUGGCUCUUCACCACAUCACACUCUUAAUGAACUCCCUGUACUUAGUGAACAUUUUCAGAUCUACAGCGUACCUGACGCACACGGUGCACUGUCUGAUGUUCAUCAGCUACCCACUGACUCACUUCUAUUGCCUUCUGUAUCCUCUGUUCUACAUACCUGGAGCCCAGAGGUUCAGGAGGCAUCUCCCCCAACGCUGUCAAAGAAACAGAGAUGACAGUUCAGUGGCAUUAGUCAAUCUGCUAGAAACAUGUGAAGACGAGGACAUGAUAGUUUGUCACGCCUUAACAAGCCGUACUUCGUGAUUAGAAGGAACUCCUGACAGACGCCGGCCGUGAACGUUUGACUCGCUUCUUGUUUGUGACGGCAGCUUACAACUUGAAAUGAAUUUGUAGUUUGAUUUUAGCUGCCAACAGCUGCAGGUUACAUUAGCGCAGACACUUAAAUGUUGUUUUUUAUUUGCUUGUGCUUUGGCAAAGAUAAAAAGACACCAUCCAGACAUGUGGAGGGAUGUCCUUGUCUUGUUUGAUUUUCACCACACGACUGAUUGCAACAGAACAACAAGAAAACAAGAGUACUGAUGAAUCACUCAUCGGGGGAACUACUCCUGUAGAUUUCAUCAGAGACGCUCAAACCGACACAUAGUGAAAGACUAGACAGGAUGCAGCAGAACUGACGUUUGAUGGUAAAUGCAGUAUUGGUUUAUAGGAAAGAGGAACAAUCAACUAGGAUAACUGUAAACCAGCUUUGUCUCUAACGGUGAAGAAAAACAGCAGCAGAUUGAAAUAUAUGAAACCAAAUGUGGCGUCUUCGUUGUCAUUCUUCUCUACGGAUCCCGUUGUUGUGAUGAUGUGACUGUAUUGAACAAAUCAGCCCACAAGGUGGCAGCAGAAAUGAACGGGAGUCUUUCUGAUGGCAGCUCCUUCAUGUCGUUUUGUUUUCAGACCAAUCAUGAUCAUGUGAUUUAUGGUUGUUUUGUUGAAUCGUGUCAGUCUUGUGCUUCGACGUCACACUAACAACACCUGAUGUUUUACAAUCCGACUGCUUGUAUUGUCAGUCACACUGUCUGUAAAGAAUGUCUGAUCUCCUGCUAUCAGCCAUCUGAGUCUGAAUCAAAUGGCUUGAAAACAGGGAUUUGUAACGUACGAUGAUUCAUCUGGUGUCCGUCCUCUAAUUAAAUGUGGUUAUCGACCUUCCAACAAA